rnacentral:lncRNA from 1 species
GCAUGCUGCACAGAGCAGGCAGUGACCCUGGAAGGUUCGAUGUCCCUGGGAACAUUCCCACUUUAAGUUGGACAGACCUUGAAGCACAUCUGCGCCAGCAUUUGCACGUUCAUGUCUCCCUUACAUGCCUCUCCUCCUGUUUAUUUGGAUGUUGUAGAGAUGAAUGAAGCAAUGUUUCCAAGAUGCUUGGAGGUCUGGGAUGAAAAUCUGCUGAAACAGAGCACAAAGCUAAGUCGUGAUCAGCCUUGCAUACAGCGGAAUGUAGAUCCUUGUCAUUGGAUUUGGACCCAGUGUAGACAGCACCUGAGCAUCAGUCAACUCCAC